UUUCCGUAGGUGAACCUGCGGAAGGAUCAUUAUCGUACAAUGGAGGUGCUGGGGUUGUCGCUGACCUUUGAAAGGGUCGUGCACGCCUCGGUGCUUUCACACAUAACCCAUCUCACCCCUUUUGUGCAUCACCGCGUGGGGGCCCCUUUUAGCUAGUUCUGAAGGGGGCUUUCACGUUUUUACAAACACACCCUUUUAAAUGCAAUAUGUAGAAUGUCUUACUUUUUGCGAUGACACGCAAUCAAUACAACUUUCAACAACGGAUCUCUUGGCUCUC
rnacentral:misc_RNA from 1 species